GUUAUAUGGUCAAGUGAAGAAGCGCAUACGGUGGAUGCCUUGGCAGUCAGAGGCGAUGAAAGACGUGGUAGCCUGCGAAAAGCUUCGGGGAGUCGGCAAACAGACUUUGAUCCGGAGAUGUCUGAAUGGGGGAACCCAGCCAUCAUAAGAUGGUUAUCUUGUACUGAAUACAUAGGUGCAAGAGGCGAACCAGGGGAACUGAAACAUCUAAGUACCCUGAGGAAAAGAAAUCAACCGAGAUUCCCUUAGUAGUGGCGAGCGAACGGGGACUAGCCCUUAAGUGGC
rnacentral:rRNA from 1 species